rnacentral:rRNA from 1 species
AACGAACGCUGGCGGCAGGCUUAACACAUGCAAGUCGAACGCAUCCUUCGGGGUGAGUGGCAGACGGGUGAGUAACGCGUGGGAACGUGCCCUUCAGUUCGGGAUAACCCAGGGAAACUUGGGCUAAUACCGGAUACGUGCGAGAGCAGAAAGAUUUAUCGCUGAAGGAUCGGCCCGCGUCUGAUUAGCUAGUUGGUGGGGUAAUGGCCCACCAAGGCGACGAUCAGUAGCUGGUCUGAGAGGAUGAUCAGCCACAUUGGGACUGAGAUACGGACCAAACUCCUACGGGAGGCAGCAGUGGGGAAUAUUGGACAAUGGGCGCAAGCCUGAUGCAGCCAUGCCGCGUGAGUGACGAAGGCCUUAGGGUUGUAAAGCUCUUUCGUCCGGGACGAUAAUGACGGUACCGGAAGAAGAGGCCCCGGCUAACUUCGUGCCAGCAGCCGCCGUAA